AUACUUCCCUGGCAGGGGAGAUACCGUGAUCGUGAAAAUGGUUUUCCCAGGGCAAGACACCCCCAUUGUCCUCCAGAUGAGCUGGCCCUGUGAUUUCCCAAAAUGUGGGAAACUUGACCAUAUCAUUUGUGGUGGUGGUGGUGGUCGGGGUGCAUUGGCACUCUACCC